GCGGAUGUGGCGGAAUUGGUAGACGCGCACGGUUCAGGUCCGUGUGCCCUUUGGGGCGUGGAGGUUCAAGUCCUCUCAUCCGCA
rnacentral:tRNA from 2 species